CGUGGGAAGUCUCGCGUAGUACACCCUCCAGAGCGUGUCAGCGCGCGUGUAGGCGAGUGAGUGACCAACCUAUCAAGGAAAUUCCAAAAUUUUUGGAACCUUUUCCGGCAAAUGAUUCGAGCUUGGGAAGGCACGCGUCAACCAUGUACCAGUCGAUACGGGAAGGUGUUCGAGAGCUGCACACGGUCACAAAG